rnacentral:rRNA from 1 species
UUUGUACACACCGUCCGUCGCUACUACCGAUUGAAUGGCUCAGUGAGGCCUUCGGACUGGCUCAGGGAGGUCGGCAACGACCACCCAGAGCCGGAAAGUUGGUCAAACUCGGUCAUUUAGAGGAAGUAAAAGUCGUAACAAGGUCUCCGUAGGUGAACCUGCGGAGGGAUCAUUA